GUCUGCGGCCACGUCACCCUGAAUAAGCCCCAUGUCUGCUCGGAAGCUAAGCAGGGUCAGGCCUGGUUAGUUCUUGGAUGGGAGACCGCCUAGGAAGACCAGGUGCUGUAGGCG
rnacentral:rRNA from 1 species